rnacentral:rRNA from 1 species
UGGGGAAUUUUGGACAAUGGGCGAAAGCCUGAUCCAGCCAUGCCGCGUGCAGGAUGAAGGCCUUCGGGUUGUAAACUGCUUUUGUACGGAACNAAAAGCCUCUUUCUAAUAAAGAGGGGUCAUGACGGUACCGUAAGAAUAAGCACCGGCUAACUACGUGCCAGCAGCCGCGGUAAUACGUAGGGUGCAAGCGUUAAUCGGAAUUACUGGGCGUAAAGCGUGCGCAGGCGGUUUUGUAAGACAAGGUGAAAUCCCCGGGCUCAACCUGGGAACUGCCUUUGUGACUGCAAGGCUGGAGUGCGGCAGAGGGGGAUGGAAUUCCGCGUGGUAGCAGUGAAAUGCGUAGAUAUGCGGAGGAACACCGAUGGCGAAGGCAAUCCCCUGGGCCUGCACUGACGCUCAUGCACGAAAAGCGUGGGGGAGCAAAACAGGAUUAGAUACCCCUGGGUAGUCCACGCCCUAAAACGAUGUCAACUGGUUGUUGGGUCUUCACUGACUCAGUAACGAAGCUAACGCGUGAAGUUGACCGCCUGGGGAGUACGGCCGCAAGGUUGAAACUCAAAUGAAUUG